ensembl:lncRNA
GAGAGAAGAGUGGCAGGGAGAGGGAGACAGGUUGGUGGGGAAAGAAGAGUGUCAGGGAGGGGGAGACAGGUUGGUGGGGGGAGAGAAGAGUGGCAGGGAGAGGGAGACAGGUUGGUGGGGAAAGAAGAGUGGCAGGGAGAGGAAGACAGGUUGGUGGGGGAAAGAAGAGUGGCAGGGAGAGGGAGACAGGUUGGUGGAGAGAGAAGAGUGGCAGGGAGAGGGAGACAGGUUGGUGGGGAAAGGAAGGUGUCAGGGAGAGGGAGACAGGUUGGUGGGGAGAGAAGAGUGGCAGGGAGAGGGAGACAGGUUGGUGGGGGAAAGAAGAGUGGCAGGGAGAGGGAGACAGGUUGGUGGGGAGAGAAGAGUGCCAGGGAGAGGGAGACAGGUUGGUGGGGAGAGAAGAGUGCCAGGGAGAGGGAGACAGGUUGGUGGGGAGAGAAGAGUGCCAGGGAGAGGGAGACAGGUUGGUAGGGAAAGAAGAGUGCCAGGCAGAGGGAGACAGGUUGGUGGGGAAAGAAGAGUGCCAGGGAGAGGGAGACAGGUUGGUGGGGAGAGAAGAGUGGCAGGGAGAGGAAGACAG